GUCUUCUCUAUUGGGAAUUAGACAGGAGUAAUUUGGGGUUUAGAGGGAUAUCCCUUUGAGAUGAAUUUGAUUUUAAGAGAUAAAUUUCUUUUUAAAAGGCUUCUUUUUCCCUCUUUCAUUUUAUAAUUGGUUAUCAAAGGGAAAACUGUCUAUAGUUGUCAGCCAUUUUUCUGUGGUCAUAAACUAUCUUCAGAUACUAUCCUCUAUGCAAUUUUUGCCAUCUGCUCUGCUAGUGACCAUUACCACCCCCAUU
rnacentral:lncRNA from 1 species